GUCUACGGACACACCACCCUGCACACUCCCGAUCUCAUUUGAUCUCGGAAGCUAAGCAGGGUUGGGCCUGGUUUGUACGUGGAUGGGAGAAAGCAGCUUUAUCUGCA
rfam:Erinaceus europaeus unplaced genomic scaffold scaffold00166, whole genome shotgun sequence